rnacentral:lncRNA from 1 species
AUCAAAUAUGAAACUUUAUUUGCGAUAACUUCUGAUGAUGAGCUUUCUUGUUAUUUAUUAGUAGGUACAUACUUCCAACCUUGCCUCUCACGUGGUUGUUUAGGUUAUCGUUUGUGUAUUGUUUUGCACCUUUGUGUUCAAACAUAGCAGCCGGGGUAUAGCAGCUCCUGUUAUGAUCUUUAACACUACUGACACUUUUUAUAUAAAAUAUGACUGUAUGAACAUUGUUCUUACUCCUAAGCUUCCCAAAAUUCCUAGACAUUGACUGAUAACAUACAAAACUUUCCAAAUUAAAUUAAUAAAGCCUUUAGCCUUAAAAGAUUAAACACAUUAGCAGAACUCAGAUCUUGCAGAUUCUCAAUUUUAGUGCCUCAGAGCAAGCAACGAUCAAAUUUCAUGUUGUAACCAAAUUGUGAAACCUAAAGCAAAUCCAGAUCCAAAUUAACCUAACUGAAUUGUCUUUUCUUGUUUCUUUGUUCGGUUCUUGUUUGUUUUAUAAACUAAAUAUGAGGAAACAAAACCUUAGUUCGCUAAAUAUGAGGAAACAAAACCUUAGUUCUAAUCUAGGCAGACAUAUGUCGCUUUGCAGUGUUCAUGGGGAACAAAGCCCACUCCACCAGGUACAGUAUCAAACCUGCUGCCGCCCCCUGUUUCACCUUUCCAGUUCCUACCAGCCGGCUACACUGCGACAAAGCUUCUGGCUUAUCAGCGCCAGCUCGCCUUGAGCCAGGCAGCUGCUGCAGAAAUUAGAAUAACCGAACAAAACCUUUGUUCGGUUAUUGUUUGUUUUAUAAACUAAAUAUGAGGAAACAAAACCUUAGUUCGCUAAAUAUGAGGAAACAAAACCUUAGUUCUAAUCUAGGCAGACAUAUGUCGCUUUGCAGUGUUCAUGGGGAACAAAGCCCACUCCACCAGGUACAGUAUCAAACCCGCUGCCGCCCCCUGUUUCACCUUUCCAGCUCCUACCAGCCGGCUACACUGCGACAGAGCUUCUGGCUUAUCAGCACCAGCUCGCGUUGAGCCAGGCAGCUGCUGCAGAAAUUAUUGCCUGCAGCUGGUGAACCACGCCAGCAACACACCAUCCAACCUGUUGCUAUCCAUCACUGCUAUACUUAAAAGCCUCACUGUCCACGAGUUGCAGCCCUUUUUUCAUUUAAAAUAUUACUUUCCAUAAAAUACAAUUACUUAUUUUUUUAAAAAAAGAACAAUUACUUAC